rnacentral:rRNA from 1 species
UUUGUAGGUGGCUUGCUAAGUCACACGUGAAAUCCCUCGGCUUAACCGGGGAACUGCGUGUGAAACUGGCGAGCUUGAGGACAGGAGAGGAACGCGGAAUUCCAGGUGUAGCGGUGAAAUGCGUAGAUAUCUGGAGGAACACCGGUGGCGAAGGCGGCGUUCUGGACUGUUUCUGACACUGAUAAACGAAAGCCAGGGGAGGCAAACG